CCUAUACUCCCUCCGUCGGAAAUACUUGUCCUAAAAAUCAAUGUACCUAGACCUAUUUUAAUUAUAGAUACAUCCAUUUUAUCCAUUUCUAAGACAAGUAUUUUCGGACGGAGGGAGUAUUUG
rfam:Triticum urartu cultivar G1812 contig986580, whole genome shotgun sequence.